GAUGAACGCUGGCGGCGUGCCUAAUACAUGCAAGUCGAGCGAACAGACGAGGAGCUUGCUCUUCUGACGUUAGCGGCGGACGGGUGAGUAACACAUGGAUAACCUACCUAUAAGACUGGGAUAACUUCGGGAAACCGGAGCUAAUACCGGAUAAUAUAUUGAACCGCAUGGUUCAAUAGUGAAAGACGGUUUUGCUGUCACUUAUAGAUGGAUCCGCGCCGCAUUAGCUAGUUGGUAAGGUAACGGCUUACCAAGACAACGAUGCGUAGCCGACCUGAGAGGGUGAUCGGCCACACUGGAACUGAGACACGGUCCAGACUCCUACGGGAGGCAGCAGUAGGGAAUCUUCCGCAAUGGGCGAAAGCCUGACGGAGCAACGCCGCGUGAGUGAUGAAGGUCUUCGGAUCGUAAAACUCUGUUAUUAGGGAAGAACAAAUGUGUAAGUAACUAUGCACGUCUUGACGGUACCUAAUCAGAAAGCCACGGCUAACUACGUG
rnacentral:rRNA from 1 species